CUUGUCCUACGGGAGGCAGCAGUGGGGAAUAUUGCACAAUGGGGGGAACCCUGAUGCAGCGACGCCGCGUGAGUGAAGAAGUAUUUCGGUAUGUAAAGCUCUAUCAGCAGGGGAGAAAAUGACGGUACCUGACUAAGAAGCCCCGGCUAACUACGUGCCAGCAGCCGCGGUAAUACGUAGGGGGCAAGCGUUAUCCGGAUUUACUGGGUGUAAAGGGAGCGUAGACGGCGGAACAAGUCAGAAGUGAAAAUCCGGGGCCCAACCCCGGAACUGCAUUGGAAACUGUUCAUCUAGAGUGUCGGAGA
rnacentral:rRNA from 1 species